rnacentral:rRNA from 1 species
GAUGAACGCUGGCGGCGUGCCUAAUACAUGCAAGUCGAGCGGACGGACGCGAAGCUUGCUGUUCUGAUGUUAGCGGCGGACGGGUGUGUAACGCGUGGAUAACCUACCUAUAAGACUGGGAUAACUUCGGGAAACCGGAGAUAAUACCGGAUAAUAUUUUGAUCCGCAUGGUUCGAUAGAGAAAGACGGUCUUGCUGUCACUACUAGAUGGAUCCGGGCUUCAUUAGCGAGUUGGUAAGUUAACGGCCUACCAAGGCAACGAUGCAUAGCCGACCUGUGAGACGGAUCGCCCACCCGAGAACGUGGACGGCGUCCUGGCGCCUACGGGAGGCACCAGAAGGGAAUCGUCCGCAGUGGGCGAGAACCUGGCGCAACGACGCGGCGUGUGUGACGAAGGUCUUCGGUUCGUAAAGCUCUGUUAUUAGUAGAGAACAUAUGUGUAAGGAACUGUGCACAUCGUGACGGUACUGAGUCAGAAAGCACCGGCUAACUACGUG